AACGUGGCAAACAAAGCUGUUUCAGAACAAGCCAGAUGUGAAAGACAAAACAAGAAGGAAUUGAACUUCAGAGUGUAACUUCUCCUGCAGUGUUGUCUAUGAACUUUUAAAGCAUAGAUUUUAGCACAAAUCCUGCGGGAUAUUGGGAAGAAUUUACAUGCAACUAUACAUGCCAGGUGUGGAAGAUGCAGGCGCAACGUUGUUCAAAUGACAGCUGUUUCCUCUGACAAGCAGACCUUCACUGCCUGGAGAAACAGAUGCACAUGUACAGAACAUCUCGAAAUGAGAGAGUGAAUGAAAUUCCAGAACGUUCCAGGAAUAGAGCCUAGAGUUUACUUACAAUGAGGACAACUGUGGAUCAGCAUUGAUGAUAUCAGGAUCCUUCAGUUCGGUACAGCAGGGGAAGUGGUCCAUCUGGGGAUCCUAUCGUAAAGAGUAAGAGAUGAUCGGUUCGUGUGCUGCUUGAACUGAGGCGCUACAGAGAUCUGUCACAACAC
ensembl:lncRNA